CGCAGGAGCGACGGGGCGGGGCGUCGCGAGGGGUGGGUUGGGAUGUACCCCCCCACUCCGCCCCGCCUCACCCCGCGAGGCCGCCGGGCGGGGUGCGCGGGUCAAACAGAAAUGCUGUUCACCUCCCACCAUGAUUCUGAGGCCUCCCCAGCCAUGUGGAACUAUAAGUCCAAUUAAACCUCUUCUUCCCAGUCUCAGGGAUACACAUUCUCUCUUCUCACCACAUGGCUGCUGCUGGAGAAUGAAGGAGGGGUGGUUUCAGCAAUUCAAGACUGUCCUUCCUACCCUCUUCAGUGCCCGACCUUGAUAAGUUGUUUAAACCAGCUGACAGCCUAACUGAAGUCCCCGCCACAGCCAGCAUCAACUGCAAAGACACCUCCAGAUGACCACAACCCUAGCCAUCAAGUCAUUCCCAGUCUUCAAGCCUUCCCAGCUGAGGCCCAGAUAUCAGAGAAGAUGAGAAAAAGAUGAAACUUGACACUUUGGCUCUGGAUACCAAUUUUGGAAGUCACGACAUAGACAAUCUCUUGGGAAUUUGACAUGUUUUCCAGCUCCUACUCCCAUCAAUGAAUAUCUAACUUGAAUUCACUCAACAAGCAUAUUCUAAGGGUUUCCAGUGAACCAGGUAUUGCACUAGGCAGUAAGGAAAUCAAGAAAGAAUUCUACCAAACCUGCCCUCCACAAUUGGCCCCUUGAGUCAAGUCAAGCUUCCUACUAUAUUAGAUUUUACAGUAAUAGAGCCCUUAUAUUCUCAGCUCUUCCAGAGUGAAAUUAUUCAAGUCACAGUAUUUUCUGAAUGGCCAAUGCAUCCCUCCUCAACCACAGCUGACUGGAUCAGGGACUACUCAAGGAUGCCUAAUCCUCAGAUUGUCCAGGCAUCUGUAACAUGGUCUCCCAUGACAAGUUGAGCCAUACCAGUCAGAUUUUCUUUCUCAGGAAUAGAAACUGGAAAAUACUAGAUGAGGUGGUUAGAGGAAAAAGUGAAAUUAGAAGCCUGUAAGAGAAAAACCACAAGAUAGGAAGAAUUAAGACCUUGAGAGGGCAGGCAUCAUUAGGCCUGUGAGACUAUGAAGAAGCUGAAACACAGGACCUAGGUUGAAUGAAUCAAAGGAUGAAUAAAUAAACAAAUAAUUG